AUUGAACGCUGGCGGCAGGCCUAACACAUGCAAGUCGAGCGGUAGCACAGGAGAGCUUGCUCUCUGGGUGACGAGCGGCGGACGGGUGAGUAAUGUCUGGGAAACUGCCUGAUGGAGGGGGAUAACUACUGGAAACGGUAGCUAAUACCGCAUGACCUCGCAAGAGCAAAGUGGGGGACCUUCGGGCCUCACGCCAUCGGAUGUGCCCAGAUGGGAUUAGCUAGUAGGUGAGGUAAUGGCUCACCUAGGCGACGAUCCCUAGCUGGUCUGAGAGGAUGACCAGCCACACUGGAACUGAGACACGGUCCAGACUCCUACGGGAGGCAGCAGUGGGGAAUAUUGCACAAUGGGCGCAAGCCUGAUGCAGCCAUGCCGCGUGUGUGAAGAAGGCCUUCGGGUUGUAAAGCACUUUCAGCGAGGAGGAAGGCCAGUGACUUAAUAAGUGGCUGGAUUGACGUUACUCGCAGAAGAAGCACCGGCUAACUCCGUGCCAGCAGCCGCGGUAAUACGGAGGGUGCAAGCGUUAAUCGGAAUUACUGGGCGUAAAGCGCACGCAGGCGGUUUGUUAAGUCAGAUGUGAAAUCCCCGAGCUUAACUUGGGAACUGCAUUUGAAACUGGCAAGCUAGAGUCUUGUAGAGGGGGGUAGAAUUUCCAGGUGUAGCGGUGAAAUGCGUAGAGAUCUGGAGGAAUACCGGUGGC
rnacentral:rRNA from 1 species